rnacentral:rRNA from 1 species
AUGCAAGUCGAACGGGAGAGCCUUUCGGGGCUUGAGAGUGGCGGACGGGUGAGUAACACGUGGGAGACCUGUCCUGGAGAGGGGGACAACUGCUGGAAACGGUAGCUAAUACCCCAUAGGCUUAAUGAGAUUAGAAGGCAUUGAGUAAAGGAGAAAUCCGCUUCAGGAGGGGCCUGCGGGCUAUCAGCUAGUUGGUGGGGUAAAGGCCUACCAAGGCGAAGACGGCUAGGGGGCGUGAGAGCGCGACCCCCCACAAUGGGACUGAGACACGGCCCAUACUCCUACGGGAGGCAGCAGUGAGGAAUAUUGCACAAUGGGGGAAACCCUGAUGCAGCAAUGCCGCGUGAAUGAUGAAGGCCUUCGGGUCGUAAAGUUCUUUUCUAUGGGAAGAGAGAGGACGGUACCAUAGGAAUAAGUCCCGGCUAACUACGUGCCAGCAGCCGCGGUAAAACGUAGGGGGCGAGCGUUAUCCGGAUUUACUGGGCGUAAAGCGCAUGCAGGCGGUUUGGUAAGAUAGACGUGAAAGCUCCUGGCUCAACCGGGAGAGGUCGUUUAAGACUGCCAGACUUGAGUUAGGUAGAGGAGAGCAGAAUUCCCGGUGUAGUGGUGGAAUGCGUAGAUAUCGGGAGGAAUACCAGUGGCGAAGGCGGCUCUCUGGGCCUUAACUGACGCUCAGAUGCGAAAGCGUGGGGAGCGAACGGGAUUAGAUACCCCGGUAGUCCACGCUGUAAACGAUGGUGACUAGGUGUAGCGGGUAUAGACCCCUGCUGUGCCGGAGCAAACGCGAUAAGUCACCCGCCUGGGGACUACGGUCGCAAGACUAAAACUCAAAGGAAUUGACGGGGGCCCGCACAAGCAGCGGAGCGUGUGGUUUAAUUCGACGAUACGCGAAGAACCUUACCUGGGUUUGACAUACAGGUGGUAAUGAGCCGAGAGGCAAGUGACCCUUCGGGGAGCCUGAACAGGUGUUGCAUGGCUGUCGUCAGCUCGUGUCGUGAGAUGUUGGGUUAAGUCCCGCAACGAGCGCAACCCACGUUGCCAGUUACAAGUGUCUGGCGAGACAGCCGGUAUUAAACCGGAGGAAGGUGUGGAUGAAGUCAAGUCAGCAUGACCUUUAUAUCCAGGGCUACACACACGCUACAAUGGCCGGUACAAUGGGCAGCGACACUGCGAGGUGGAGCGAAUCCUAAAAGCCGGUCUCAGUUCGGAUAGCAGUCUGCAACUCGACUGCUUGAAGGUGGAGUUGCUAGUAAACGCGCGUCAGCCAUAGUGCGUUGAAUACGUUCCCGGGCCUUGUACACACCGCCCGUCACGUCAUGGGAGCCGGUAACGCCUAAAGAAGGUGACCGAACCGCAAGGGAGGAGCUUUCUAGGGUGGGGCUGGUAACUGGGACGAAGUCGUAACAAGGUA